CUGUGAGCGAUAAGACCGCUACGGGUUGUUCCGGGUGCUCCUCUCCGUAUGGUGAGUAUGAACCCGGACACCACAAACUCGUAGGGCGCGUUCACUG
rnacentral:ncRNA from 1 species